GAUGAACGCUGGCGGCGUGCCUAAUACAUGCAAGUCGAGCGAACAGAUAAGGCUCUUGCUCCUUUGACGUUAGCGGCGGACGGGUGAGUAACACGUGGGUAACCUACCUAUAAGACUGGAAUAACUCCGGGAAACCGGGGCUAAUGCCGGAUAACAUUUAGAACCGCAUGGUUCUAAAGUGAAAUAUGGUUUUGCUAUCACUUCUAGAUGGACCCGCGCCGUAUUAGCUAGUUGGUAAGGUAACGGCUUACCAAGGCAACGAUACGUAGCCGAACUGACAGGGGGGUCGCCCACACUGGAACUGAGACACGGUCAUGGGUCCUAAGGGAGGCAGCAGUAGGGAAUCUGCGGCAAAGGGCGGAAGCCUGGCGGAGCGGCGCCGCGUGUGUGAUGAAGGUCUUCGGAUCGUAAAACUGUGUUAUUGGGGAAGAACCACUGUGUAAGGAACUGAGCACGUCUUGACGGUACCUAAUCAAAAAGCAACGGCUAACUACGUG
rnacentral:rRNA from 1 species